AGUUUCCCAGCGCACCACGCCGGAUUCCGGGCGUCGGCGUACAGGAUCCCAGAGAAGGCUUCCCGCCGGAGCAGCGGUCGCGGGCGGUUCACCUGGCUGCGCAGGGGUCCCAGAUAUUCAGAGAAGAGCUGAGGCUCAGCCUGUCCUGCCCUCUGGAUUAAUUGCCCUGGUUGAUCACGUUUCCUUGGGUUCUGGAUCUGCUCCUCCAGCCCCCAUAUUUUGGAAACAAGUGUCAUUUAGAAUAGGGGGUGGGAGGCCGGGCACAGUGGCUCACGCCUGUAAUCCCAGCACUUUGAGAGGCCGAGGCGGACGGAUCAUGAGAUCAGGAGUUCGAGACCAGCCUGACCAACAUGGUGAAACCCACUCUCUACUAAAAAUACAAAAAUUAGCCGGACGUGGUGGCGCGCGCCUCCAUCUCAAAAAAAAAAAAAAUUGGGGGAUGGGGAGGUGUGGGUUGCGGGAGGUGUGGGUUGCAGUUGUGUUUUCAAAGCAAUGUUUACUAUCUGGCCGGGCGCAGUGGCUCAUGCCUGUAAUCCCAGUACUUUGGGAGACCGGGUGGAUCAUGAGGUCAGGAGUUCCAGACCAGCCUAACCAACAUGGUGAAACCGCGUCUCUACUAAAAAUACAAAAACUAGCCGGCUGUGGUGGCACGCGCCUGUAAUCCCAGCUACUCAGGAGGCUGAGGCAGGAGAAUCGCUUGAACCCGGGAGGCGGAGGUUGCAGUGAGACCGGAUCGCUCUCCACUGGGCGACAGAUUUGAAUCUACGCUGUGCCCAUCUUGCAGAUGAAGAUUUCCCCAAGCCGUUACAGAUGGUUCCCUACCCAUUCCAGAGCUGCUAAUUAUAACCACCAGCUUCAGGCGGUAGGCUGAGACCUUUAUUGUUUUGUGUCAUUUAGUCAUCAGUAAACCCCAUGGAAUAAAGCAAAGUAUGUCUGCUCUACAAAUGAGAAAAUUGAGGCCCAGAGAGACUGCCCAAGGUCCCUCACAGUAAAAGAAUGUCUGAGGAUUCAAACCCAUAUCAUUUUGAUGCCACAAAGCCAGUGUGCCCUUGACCCUCCAUCGCCCAGGACCUUAAAAUUUCCUGACAGUGACUGGCAUUCUCCCUGCGGGUUGUGAACAGGAAACUGCAUUUCAGGGAUGGACGGUGGCGGGAGCAGUCGCUCUCGGGAGCCUCUCCUUCCCCUGGCUGUGGGACCCUAGAGGCUGGUGUCCGCUGAGCUGGAAACUGGACUUCUGCCCAGAUCUUUGAACGACCCCACGGUCCAGCGGCAGCUGUGGCUGGGGUCUAUCCCAGAGUCCAUUGCCCCUCUCUGGGUUAAAAGGAUAGCCCACCUGGUUGCAGAGAUUGAAAGGACUAAUUGUGAAAAUGCUUUUCAAAGGAGAAAGUGUAAUAUGCAAAUACCAAAUAUUACACUAUAUUUCAAGGACUCAUUUUAAUACUUUAUACUCUGUUAACUAAAUGCAUUAUAAUAUUCCUUCCAUUGUUGGAGGAAAAAUCUGGUUGCUCAUUGUCUUUCAUUUCAUGUCUUCAAAACUAGUAUCUUAAUCAGUAAUGCUUUCCUUCAUAAUAGAUUGUGUUCAUAUGUAUUCUCUCUUCCCUUCAAAUUUCCUAUCUACUCACUUUGAAAGGAAAUUUCUGAAAUUCAUUUCUAUGCAUUUCCCUCCUCACUUUUUUUCUGCACAAAGUUCAAAACUAUAUUAUAGGUGAAAAAAUAAAACCAAGAAAUGAAGGGAAGGUUGAACUAUGAAAUCAACAUAGCAUUGUGAUCUCCCAACGCUGAUAUACCCAGAGUGAACAAUUUGCCUUGCUACAGAAAAUUAGUCACAGACUUGUUGCAGCUGAAGUGAGCAGGAUCAUGAAGUUCCUUUUGUUUGUUGAAUAUGUUAUUAAGUCUUCCUCGGUUUUAAUAAUGUUGAACUGUUUUUUUAUUACUCCUAUUAUGUUUUGCUGGGCAUUUGUUUAAAGAUAAUACAUCAGUUUUGUAACCUUGUAGCAAUAUAAGUUAUUGAUGAUAAAUACUCCCCUUCUUUCUUUCUGCAGGAAUAAUAUUUUCACUGCAGCUUUGGGGUCAUGCCUAAAAGUGGCUUGAACCAAAUUGAAAUAGCAAUUUGAAAAAACCCCAGAUCAAUCUAAAAUGUUAUUUUUUUAACCAAAGCAUGUUCAAGAUUUGAAAAUGUAUCCUCUAUUUUCAAAAGUAUACAUAUAAUUUAUCCUAGAACUUAAUAUUACUGAACAUAGAUAACCUCAGACCACCCAAAUAUUCUCCAAAGCAAAUCUUAAUCAUACCUUUAAUUAAUUUAAUCGCAAUUUCUGAUUCACUUUUUUUUUUUUUUUU
rnacentral:lncRNA from 1 species